rnacentral:rRNA from 1 species
CGCUUAACACAUGCAAGUCGAGGGGCAUCAGGCCUUAAGCUUGCUUUCUUUGCUGGCGACCGGCGCACGGGUGAGUAACACGUAUCCAACCUGCCCUUUACUCGGGGAUAGCCUUUCGAAAGAAAGAUUAAUACCCGAUGGCAUAAUGAUUCCGCAUGGUUUCAUUAUUAAAGGAUUCCGGUAAAGGAUGGGGAUGCGUUCCAUUAGGUUGUUGGUGAGGUAACGGCUCACCAAGCCUUCGAUGGAUAGGGGUUCUGAGAGGAAGGUCCCCCACAUUGGAACUGAGACACGGUCCAAACUCCUACGGGAGGCAGCAGUGAGGAAUAUUGGUCAAUGGGCGCUAGCCUGAACCAGCCAAGUAGCGUGAAGGAUGAAGGCUCUAUGGGUCGUAAACUUCUUUUAUAUAAGGAUAAAGUGCAGUAUGUAUACUGUUUUGUAUGUAUUAUAUGAAUAAGGAUCGGCUAACUCCGUGCCAGCAGCCGCGGUAAUACGGAGGAUCCGAGCGUUAUCCGGAUUUAUUGGGUUUAAAGGGAGCGUAGGUGGACUGGUAAGUCAGUUGUGAAAGUUUGCGGCUCAACCGUAAAAUUGCAGUUGAUACUGUCAGUCUUGAGUACAGUAGAGGUGGGCGGAAUUCGUGGUGUAGCGGUGAAAUGCUUAGAUAUCACGAAGAGCUCCGAUUGCGAAGGCAGCUCACUGGACUGCAACUGACACUGAUGCUCGAAAGUGUGGGUAUCAAACAGGAUUAGAUACCCUGGUAGUCCACACAGUAAACGAUGAAUACUCGCUGUUUGCGAUAUACAGUAAGCGGCCAAGCGAAAGCAUUAAGUAUUCCACCUGGGGAGUACGCCGGCAACGGUGAAACUCAAAGGAAUUGACGGGGGCCCGCACAAGCGGAGGAACAUGUGGUUUAAUUCGAUGAUACGCGAGGAACCUUACCCGGGCUUAAAUUGCAGUGGAAUGAUGUGGAAACAUGUCAGUGAGCAAUCACCGCUGUGAAGGUGCUGCAUGGUUGUCGUCAGCUCGUGCCGUGAGGUGUCGGCUUAAGUGCCAUAACGAGCGCAACCCUUAUCUUUAGUUACUAACAGGUUAUGCUGAGGACUCUAGAGAGACUGCCGUCGUAAGAUGUGAGGAAGGUGGGGAUGACGUCAAAUCAGCACGGCCCUUACGUCCGGGGCUACACACGUGUUACAAUGGGGGGUACAGAAGGCAGCUAGCGGGUGACCGUAUGCUAAUCCCAAAAGCCUCUCUCAGUUCGGAUCGAAGUCUGCAACCCGACUUCGUGAAGCUGGAUUCGCUAGUAAUCGCGCAUCAGCCACGGCGCGGUGAAUACGUUCCCGGGCCUUGUACACACCGCCCGUCAAGCCAUGGGAGCCGGGGGUACCUGAAGUACGUAACAGCAAGGAUCGUCCUAGGGUAAAACUGGUGACUG